rnacentral:rRNA from 1 species
CUUUAAGAGUCCUGAAGGAACGUUGAAGACGACGACGUUGAUAGGCCGGGUGUGUAAGCGCAGCGAUGCGUUGAGCUAACCGGUACUAAUGAACCGUGAGGCUUAACCUUACAACGCCGAAG